AUUUUAUUCGUGAUCUUCACUACCUAGGCCUAAAUUAUAGCGUGCUCUAGCUCAUUUCCUGAGCUCCAGAACCUCUCUAUUGCAAUUUUCUUUUUACAUAGUAAUCGUAGUUAUUCUUCUCCUUAAAUUUUCCUAUUUGUUUUUUACCCGUCUCAUCGAAUCUAAGCUUUUUACUGUAACAUUAAAAAAAAGAAAAAAGUCUCCUUCCCUGCCCACCUUCAUCAAUGAUGUCCCCAAACUUACCUAUUAAAACCUCAAAAUCAGUCUUUCCCCAGGUCGGCCUUUGGAUAACUCAGAGGUCAGUCCCUGUAGGAUUGCCCAGUUUCCAUCAGGGCAAAUGCUGAUCUCCUAAGUGAAAAGUCCUGGCCGCUGCCUCCAGUGGCCCCCUGCAAAUCAUUACAAAUCAACCUCUUUCAGGUCUGGCUUAAACUCUCACCUCCUGGAAACUGCUUUCCUGAAGUCACAAACCGGGCAUGCAGAUCCCCAUCCCCCACCCCCAGCAGUGCAUUAUUAUGCAGUCACUGCUUUUGUUCCGAGUUCUGAGCCUGCUUCUAUUUGCAUCGUAACCGCUUUGGGGGCCGGGACUGUGCACUUGCUCCCUUUCUAUACCUCUCCACAGUUCCUAGUACCGGCCAAAAACACUGCUGAAAUGCCUAAUGAAUCAACCAGAAGUUCCUUAGCAUAAUAUAGUGGCGUGGAAGUGAUGUUUAGGGGGGCUUCCCUUGCUUCCCUGAUCCCCAGAUGGAGAGAAAUGGCAAUUUGCCCUUCCAAGCUUACAGGAACUUGGGAGGAGAUAAGAAAAAAGAAGAGAAGAGGAGAGGAGGCAAACACUCAUUGGGCGUUGUAUUCGUCUGUUUUCACGCUGCUGAUAAAGACAUACCCAAGACUGGGUAAUUUAUAAAAGAGGUUUAAUGGACUCACAGUUCCAUGUGGCUGGGAAGGCCUCACAAUCAUGGCAGAACGUGAAAGGCACGUCUUACAUGGCAGCAGGCAAGUAGAGAAUACGAACCAAGCACAAGGGGUGUCCCCUUAUAAAACCAUCAGAUCUUGUGAGACUUAUUCACUAC
rnacentral:lncRNA from 1 species